CAAAAAAGCACCGUUUUUUGCCGAUUGAGCUUCUCGAUAUAACCAAUAUUGCCAACAAUUCGACAUUUACUAUAUUUUUUGAUUGGUCGCAACUUCGAAAUAAAAAACCAAAUUAUUUACAUUGUGAUACAAUAAUCCACCAUUUAUCAGGAAUGGUUAACUUCCUUCUAUUGUUUCUGAAUUGUGUUGUAAUUAUCAACAGUUACCAUACCUACAAUUAUUACCAUCAUUAUGAUUCCGGCGGCUAUGCUCCUUUUCCAAGAUCAGACUGGAGUUACUACUACCCGGGUCUAUACUUUGACGACAUCAGGUAUGGAGAGUUCUACGACGGAGGAUUCUUUAGUCACAACUCGGGGCGACUCCACAACCGCCGACUGUUUGACAUGCGGGGUUAUCGCUUGAACCGGAAUUCAAUCUAUUCCAGAGGCAACCGGAAGUCCUACAGCAACCCGAGCAGUAAAGGCGGGAAAUCUUCAUCGGGGGCUAAAAGUGGGUGGGGUGGCACCGGAUACUUGGGCGUGAUCAACAGGAGCUCAAACAACAACAGAUGGUGACCUUAACUCAAAAGAACCAAUGUGUAUCUGUAAUUAGCGUUUAUUAGCGAUUUUGAGGUAUAAAAGAACUGUCUGAAAUGAUGUUUGUAAUGCAUAGUACUAAACACAAUGAUAUUAUGUUUUUAAAGCUCUUAUGGUCCAUGUGAACAAUUUCUCUCCUAAAUAGAACAAG